rnacentral:rRNA from 1 species
CCUACGGGGGGCUGCAGUGAGGAAUAUUGGUCAAUGGACGAAAGUCUGAACCAGCCAUGCCGCGUGCAGGAUGAAUGCCCUAUGGGUUGUAAACUGCUUUUAUAUAGGAAUAAACCCCUUUACGUGUAAAGGGCUGAAGGUACUAUAAGAAUAAGGACCGGCUAACUCCGUGCCAGCAGCCGCGGUAAUACGGAGGGUCCAAGCGUUAUCCGGAUUUAUUGGGUUUAAGGGGGCCACAUAAGGAAAAAGUGAAAUCCUAUCGCUUAACGAUAGAACUGCCAUUGAUACUGUUUUUCUUGAGUAUACGUGAAGUGGGCGGAAUGUGUCAUGUAGCGGUGAAAUGCAUAGAUAUGACACAGAACACCGAUUGCGAAGGCAGCUCACUAAAUUAUAACUGACGCUCAUGGACGAAAGCGUGGGGAGCAAACAGGAUUAGAUACCCUAGUAGUC